rnacentral:rRNA from 1 species
GAUGAACGCUGGCGGCGUGCCUAAUACAUGCAAGUCGAGCGAACAGACGAGGAGCUUGCUCCUCUGACGUUAGCGGCGGACGGGUGAGUAACACGUGGAUAACCUACCUAUCAGACUGGGAUAACUUCGGGAAACCGGAGCUAAUACCGGAUAAUCUAUUGAACCGCAUGGUUCAAUAGUGAAAGACGGUUUUGCUGUCACUUAUAGCUGGAUCCGCGCCGCAUUAGCUAGUUGGUAAGGUAACGGCUUACCAAGGCAACGAUGCGUAGCCGACCUGAGAGGGUGAUCGGCCACACUGGAACUGAGACACGGUCCAGACUCCUACGGGAGGCAGCAGUAGGGAAUCGGCCGCAAUGGGCGAAAGCCUGACGGAGCAACGCCGCGUGAGUGAUGAAGGUCUUCGGAUCGUAAAACUCUGUUAUUAGGGAAGAACAAAUGUGUAAGUAACUAUGCACGUCUUGACGGUACCUAAUCAGAAAGCCACGGCUAACUACGUG